UACGUAGGGUGCAAGCGUUAAUCGGAAUUACUGGGCGUAAAGCGUGCGCAGGCGGUUUUGUAAGUCAAAUGUGAAAUCCCCGGGCUUAACCUGGGAACUGCGUUUGAAACUACAAGGCUAGAGUGUGGCAGAGGGGGGUGGAAUUCCACGUGUAGCAGUGAAAUGCGUAGAGAUGUGGAGGAACACCGAUGGCGAAGGCAGCCCCCUGGGUUAACACUGACGCUCAGGCACGAAAGCGUGGGGAGCAAACAGG
rnacentral:rRNA from 1 species